rnacentral:rRNA from 1 species
GACGAACCGUGCGAACGUUAUUCGGAAUCACUGGGCUUAAAGCGUGUGUAGGCGGAUUCCUAAGUACCUUGUGAAAUCCCACGGCUCAACCGUGGAACUGCUCGGUAUACUGGGUAUCUUGAGCCACUUAGGGGCGACCGGAACAAAUGGUGGAGCGGUGAAAUGCGCAGAUAUCAUUUGGAACGCCAAUGGUGAAAACAGGUCGCUGGGAGUGUGCUGACGCUGAGACACGAAAGCCAGGGGAGCAAACGGG